rnacentral:rRNA from 1 species
CCUACGGGAGGCAGCAGUGAGGAAUAUUGGUCAAUGGCCGGAAGGCUGAACCAGCCAUGCCGCGUGAAGGUCAGUGCCCUAUGGGCGUUAAACUUCUUUUGUGCGGGAGCAAUAAUGGUCACGUGUGGCCAGACGAGAGUACCGUACGAAUAAGCAUCGGCUAACUCCGUGCCAGCAGCCGCGGUAAUACGGGGGAUGCAAGCGUUAUCCGGAUUUAUUGGGUUUAAAGGGUGCGUAGGCUGGGAGGUAAGUCAGCGGGGAAAUGCCCCCGCUCGACGGGGUGAAGUGCCAUUGAUACUGCCUUGCUGGAAGGCGGAUGCCGUGGGAGGAAUGUGUGGUGUAGCGGGGAAAUGCAUAGAUAUCACACAGAACACCGAUUGCGAAGGCAUCUCACGAAUCCGCGAUUGACACUGAUGCACGAAAGCGUGGGUAUAAAACAGGAUUAGAUACCCCAGUAGUC